UACGGCUACAUCACGUUGAAACACAGGUUCUCGUACGACCACCGAAAGCAACCUCGAACCCGGUCAGUACUUAGAUGGGUGACCCCUUGAGAAUACUAAGUGUUGUAAG